rnacentral:rRNA from 1 species
AAGGAAUAUUGGACAAUGGUCGCAAGACUGAUCCAGCCAUGCCGCGUGCAGGAAGACGGCCCUAUGGGUUGUAAACUGCUUUUGUACCAGAGAAAACCUAUCUACGUGUAGAUAGCUGAUAGUAUGGUAAGAAUAAGCAUCGGCUAACUUCGUGCCAGCAGCCGCGGUAAUACGAAGGAUGCAAGCGUUAUCCGGAAUUAUUGGGUUUAAAGGGUGCGUAGGCGGACUAAUAAGUCAGUGGUGAAAGCCUGCAGCUUAACUGCAGAAUUGCCAUUGAUACUGUUAGUCUUGCGUACAGUUGAGGUUGGCGGAAUGUGUCAUGUGGCGGUGAAAUGCUUAGAUAUGACACAGAACACCGAUUGCGAAGGCAGCUUGCUAAGCUGUAACUGACACUGAGGCACGUAAGCGUGGGGAGCAAACA